AGGACCCCAAGGCCCCAGGCCCAACAUUAGGAAAACUAACCCCUGUGCCCUGAAGCUGCAAGAUGUUCCAUAUAGAUAACCCCGGAAGGGCCAAACUUGAGCAAACAGGGUAAAAACAGGAACUAAAAGGACAGGAUGCAAUUUUAUGGUUUUUCUGAGAACUAAAGUGGGAAAACAAGUUUACCCCCCUAGGUGACUCAACUGCUGAAUUCAGAGGGACCAAUAGGAAGGCUGUUGCUGUGCUAAGCUAAGACCUAACCCACCUGUUCCAUAUAAAAGAUCUAUACCCCAAAGCCCGGUGUGCCAGUUCACCGAAGCUCCGGCUGAGGUUUUGCUGUGCACCCGCAGGCGCCUGUGUGAGAAUAAACGCCUCCUGCUUUUUGCAGCCAGUGUCUCGUGUGGUUCAUUCCGGGUUUGGGAUCUGUGGAUAUUUCAUUGUGGAGGCCCCAGCGAGAUCCAAGAUCCCGGUUCCGGUUCCGAUCCCGGUCCCUAUCCGGAGGACACCCGACAUCACUGGGAGACUCAUUUGCAUGCUUUGCAAUUGGUCCAGAACGAGGUCUGGAAGCCUCUAGCCGCAGCAUACAAAGAGGAACUUAAAACCCCCUUGCUGCCACAUCCCUUCAAGGUCGGAGAUACCAUCUGGGUACGCAGGCACCAGAGCAGGAACCUCGAACCGCGGUGGAAAGGACCCUACACUAUCCUGCUGACCACUCCUACUGCACUCAAAGUGGACGGCAUCGCUGCUUAGAUCCAUGCUUCCCACGUGAAGACUGCACAUCCACAGGAGUCCGCAGACACCUCUCCGGAUCCAGAAUGAAAGUUGCAACGUACCCAAAAUCCGCUAAAGAUAAGACUCACUCGCUGUUGAUUUUUCUUGCUUUGUGCUGUGUCUUCCCCAUAUCAGUUAACCCCAACCAAUCUGUGAGCCAGACAUGACAAGUAUUAUCGGGGACAAGAAAUAUAAUUUAAAAAAAAAACAAAAAACAAAACAGGAUCCCCCACUUUCUGCCGACUCUUGCAGGAGCCUAAAAUGGUACGGGGCAGGGCCAUGUACCGCAUUUGCCUGCAACCCCUUAAACAUUACCUUUACUCAGGCAGGCAAAGCAUCAAAAGAUUGGAUAAAAAAAAAAAAAAAAAAAAAAAAAAAAACAAUGGGGCCUGAGAGUAUAUCAUAAAACUGCCUAUGACCCUGGGGUCCUAUUCAAAAUUAGAUUAAUAGUAAAUACCAACCCCCAACCAGUAUGCUGAGCCGUCAGCUGAAAUAAUGCUGGAAUCCGAGCAGAUGGGUCAAUGGAUAUAAGAUUAUAUCCAUGAUAUAAAAAAAAGGGGGGAAUGAAGGACCCCAAGGCCCCAGGCCCAACAUUAGGAAAACUAACCCCUGUGCCCUGAAGCUGCAAGAUGUUCCAUAUAGAUAACCCCGGAAGGGCCAAACUUGAGCAAACAGGGUAAAAACAGGAACUAAAAGGACAGGAUGCAAUUUUAUGGUUUUUCUGAGAACUAAAGUGGGAAAACAAGUUUACCCCCCUAGGUGACUCAACUGCUGAAUUCAGAGGGACCAAUAGGAAGGCUGUUGCUGUGCUAAGCUAAGACCUAACCCACCUGUUCCAUAUAAAAGAUCUAUACCCCAAAGCCCGGUGUGCCAGUUCACCGAAGCUCCGGCUGAGGUUUUGCUGUGCACCCGCAGGCGCCUGUGUGAGAAUAAACGCCUCCUGCUUUUUGCA